CAAUAGCGUAUAUUAAAGUUGUUGCGGUUAAAAGACUCGUAGUUGGAUUUCUGCCGAGGACGACCGGUCCGCCCUCUGGGUGAGUAUCUGGCUUGGCCUGGGCAUCUUCUUGGAGAACGUAGCUGCACUUGACUGUGUGGUGCGGUAUCCAGGAACUUUUACUUUGAGGAAAUUACAAUGUUUCAAGCAGGCAUGCGCCUUGAAUACAUUAGCAUGGAAUAAUAAGAUAGGACCUUGGUUCUAUUUUGUUGGUUUCUAGAGCUGAGGGUAAUGAUUAAUAGGGAUAGUUGGGGGCAUUCGUAUUUAACUGUCAGAGGUGAAGUUCUUGGAUCUGUUAAAGACGGACUACUGCGAAAGUCAUUUUGCCAAGGAUAGUUUUCGAUUGAUCAAGAACGAAAGUUAGGGGAUCGAAGACGAUCAGAUACCGU
rnacentral:rRNA from 1 species